UACACCUGGCUUCAUGCAAGGUGGUCUCUGAAGAGAGAACGCUGCAGGUUUUAGACAAAUUGAAAACCACGGGCUUAGAUGUUUCUCUUUUCAGGAGCCAGAGUCUCAAAGCUAGCCGUGCCCAGCAGUCAGCCGUCAGUCACCACAGAGCACCUGAUCGGUGCCACUGCUAGGAGCUGCCAGGGAGAGGAGAAGGCCCCGCCUUCCUUCCAGGGGCUUCCGAUCCAUUCCAGGUGCUUGCUGGGUGUGUCCUACGUACCAGGUGCCGUUCCACGGGUAGAGCAGUUCUCGUGGAUUUCAGAGUGGGGAAAGUCAUGGAAGACAAGCCUGCAGGACCGUCUCAGGCAGCCCCAGCAGAGGGUGGGCGGGCGAGGGGUGCAGGGCUAAGUCCCCACGUGGGAUGCCCAGGUCUUGUACUGGAUGGAGUUCCUGCUUUAAGUCCCAGCUACUCCUCCUCCUGUUAACGCGCACGCUGGGAGGCGGCAGAUGAAGGCUCAGGUAGUUGUGUUCUUGCCACCUGGAUUGGGCCCUGGGCUCCUGGCUUGCCCCACCAAGUCCUGCAGACGGAAGACCUCUGUCGCUGUCCCGCAUUCAUAGUCUCUCUAUCAUCUUUCAAACAAAAUGAACAAUUUUACAAAGCAGAGUGCUCUGAGCACAGCAGACCAGCUGACCGCUGCCCCUUGGCUGGACAGAGCAGGCCUCUUUGAGGAGGCCACGUGUGAGGAUGGAGCCAAAUAAUGGCACCCAGGUGGCCACGCCCACAUCUGGGCAAAGAGUUCUCAUCAGAGCAAACAGCAGGUCCAGAGGCCCUGAGGCAGGACAGGGCGUGGUGUGUUUCAGGAAUGGCCCGUAGGCCCCCAGCAUUGAGGCAGGGAGGAGGAGAAAGGGAAGGGAGAGGGGAAGAGACAGGCAGGGCCCAAUCUCGUGGGUGCAUCGUCAGACGUUCACUGAAGCCAUCGGAGGAGGGCCUGGGGAGCGAUCGCCUUCGGAAGACCCUUCACAGCCAGCCCUGGGAGCCGUGAGAGAGGAACUGUGCCCUGGUGCGGCAGGGGGCUGGUGAGCCCGAGCACUGAGACCCUGCGCUCUUGCUGGCUCCUGGUCACACACUGAAGAAGGCUGGGGGUCGCUGUUGCGGUGCGGCAGGGUAAGCCGCGGCUUGGGGCGCCGUCACCCCAGACAGGAGCACUGGUUACCCUGCUUCUGAUCUGGCUCCCUGCUGGCGCUCCUGGGAAGGUGGCGCAUGUUGGCCGGAGCGUUGGGUGCCCUCCAUCCAUGUGGGAGACUCGGAUGGAGCUCCGGGCUGCUGGCUUCAGCCUGGUAUAGCCCCAGAUGUUACAGGUGCACGGGAGCGAGCCAGCAGAGGGAAGAUUCUCUCUCUCUGCCUGUU
rnacentral:lncRNA from 1 species